GCUUCAUCUGUGUUUACAGAUAGAAGGCAAGCAGCAACAGACAGGAAUUGGAUUUGUUACUGGAUGCUUUACUCAGGAAGCAGAUCUUACUGUGAUGUGACUACCUCAUCUGUAUAAUGAUAUCCCCACAGAACUGGGAUCAUGCCGCUGGGUAGAUUUGCCGAGUGAAUGAAUGAAUGAGGUAUGAUUGCAGCCCCC
rnacentral:lncRNA from 1 species